CUGGGGCUAAUUUCCGAUAGGCGAAGAACUCUGGAAUGAGUUUUCACUUAAAUGGCGCUUAGAUCAUGCUUCUAGGCGUUGCCCAAGGAUGGGGCCGCGACCGAUCAGGUUGUUGGUGAGGUAAUGGCUCACCAAGCCUCUAACCGGUGCGGGCCGUGAGAGCGGGAGCCCGGAGAUGGGCACUGAGACAAAGGCCCAGGCCCUACGGGGCGCAGCAGUCGCGAAAACUUUGCAAUACACGAAAGUGUGACAGGGUCAUCCCGAGUGCCGUCCGCUGAGGAUGGCUUUUACUCAGUCUAGAACGCUGAGGGAAUAAGGAGAGGGCAAGUCUGGUGUCAGCCGCCGCGGUAAUACCAGCUCUCCGAGUGGUGUGGAUGUUUAUUGGGCCUAAAGCAUCCGUAGCUGGCUGGGCAAGUCCCCUGUUAAAUCCACCGAUUUAAUCGUUGGUGUGCGGGGGAAACUGCUCGGCUAGGGGACGAGAGAGGCAGACGGUAUUUCCGGGGUAGGGGUGAAAUCCUAUAAUCCCGGGAAGACCACCAGUGGCGAAGGCUGUCUGCUAGAACGCGCCCGACGGUGAGGGAUGAAAGCUGGGGGAGCGAACCGGAUUAGAUACCCGGGUAGUCCCAGCUGUAAACGAUGCAGGCUAGGUGUUUGGGCGGCCACGUGCCGCUCUAGUGCCGCAGGGAAGCCGUUAAGCCUGCCGCCUGGGGAGUACGAUCGCAAGAUUGAAACUUAAAGGAAUUGGCGGGGGAGCACCACAAGGGGUGAAGCUUGCGGUUUAAUUGGAGCAACGCCGGAAAUCUCGCCGGGAGCGACAGCAGUUUGAAGGCCAGAUUAAAGGUCUUGCCAGACGAGCUGAGAGGAGCUGCAUGGGCGUCGCCAGUUCGUGCCGUGAGGUGUCCUGUUAAGUCGGGCAACGAUCGAGACCCGCGUCUUCUGUUGCCACCAGUUUAGUGCUGAGCACACUGAAGAGACCGCCGCUGAUAUAGCGGAGGAAGGAGCGGGCCACGGCAGGUCAGUAUGCCCCGAAUCUCCCGGGCCACACGCGAGCUGCAAUGGCAGGUACAAUGAGUCCCGACCUCGAAAGGGGAAGGCAAUCUCGAAAACCUGCCGUAGUUGGGAUCGAGGGUUGAAACUCACCCUCGUGAACAUGGAAUCCCUAGUAAUCGCGUGUCACUAGCGCGCGGUGAAUACGUCCCUGCUCCUUGCACACACCGCCCGUCGUUCCACCC
rnacentral:rRNA from 1 species